AACGAACGCUGGCGGCAUGCCUAACACAUGCAAGUCGAACGCUUCUCUUCGGAGAGGAGUGGCGCACGGGUGAGUAACGCGUGGGAACCUGCCCCGAGGUGGGGAGUAACCGAUGGAAACGUACGGCUAAUACCGCAUACGUCCUAAGGAGAAAGAUUAUCGCCUUGGAGGGCCCGCGUCGGAUUAGCUAGUUGGUGGGGUAACGGCCUACCAAGGCGAUGAUCCGUAGCUGGUCUGAGAGGANGAUCAGCCACACUGGGACUGAGACACGGCCCCGACUCCUACGGGAGGCAGCAGCGGGGAAUAUUCCGCAAUGGGCGAAAGCCUGACGGAGCGACGCCGCGUGUGGGAUGAAGUCUCUUGGGAUGUAAACCACUGUCGGAGGGAAGAGAACGGACGGUACCC
rnacentral:rRNA from 1 species